UACGUAGGGUGCAAGCGUUAAUCGGAAUUACUGGGCGUAAAGCGUGCGCAGGCGGUGAUGUAAGACAGGUGUGAAAUCCCCGGGCUUAACCUGGGAAUUGCGCUUGUUACUGGCAAGCUAGAGUGCGUCAGAGGGAGGUGGAAUUCCACGUGUAGCAGUGAAAUGCGUAGAGAUGUGGAGGAACACCGAUGGCGAAGGCAGCCUCCUGGGAUGACACUGACGCUCAUACACGAAAGCGUGGGGAGCAAACAGG
rnacentral:rRNA from 1 species